UCAGGGAAGAAUCGAUGACGGUACCUGAUGAAUCAGCAUCGGCUAACUCCGUGCCAGCAGCCGCGGUAAUACGGAGGAUGCAAGCGUUAUCCGGAAUUAUUGGGCGUAAAGCGUCCGUAGGUGGUUUAUCAAGUCUGCUGUCAAAGCGUGCGGCUUAACCGCAUAAGGGCAGUGGAAACUGAUGAACUAGAGUGCGAUAGGGGUAACAGGAAUUCCCAGUGUAGCGGUGAAAUGCGUAGAUAUUGG
rnacentral:rRNA from 1 species